GUAACACUAAACUUCUUUUUUUUUUUUUUUUUUUUUUGGAAAAAUAUGGUAACACUAAGUCACUAACCUAUUUCUAUAUCACCCCUAGUAACAAAUGACAUUUUUGUCCUUUCUUUUUCUUUUUUCUCUGUUUUGGUUUCAGUUUUCCCUUUUUACUUAAUGUCUUCUCUCUCCUCUAAGGUGAGGCAAAACAAGCUGCGAAGGAAGAGGACGGAGCAGCUGGAGGACCCACGUCAUAGUAAAUAGCACCGGCGAGAUGGACCAUCAAAAGAGCGGUGUCAACUGCAGAAAACACGCCACUUUUAACAAUAGAAAGCUUGUGGCGGCCAAAGCAAUGGGCUUGGUGAUCAAGGUAGAGAUCUCGCAUUUCUAGCAGAAAUCAACCAACAUCUUAAGGGAAUUGUUAUAGGUUUUUAAAAAAGAAUCGUCAAUGGCGUACAUAACCAUGGGUGGAGCAGAGUUGUCCGCAUUUGAGGUAGAAAUGAACCAGCCUUUUAGUCUUAUUAUCAGUUCUUUUUAAUCAACCAAGGAGUUCUUCAAUAGCUCACCUCCUACUCCUCUGAUUUAUUUUAGUACCUUUAUCUCUGAUAUUUAAAGAUUUAUUUUAUUGAAACCUGAAUUUCAAUCAUAUUAUAUUGAUUUAUUCUUUCUAAUUAUACGAAGUAUGAUUUGUUUUUUAUUCUGAUCAAUAAAUUUUGAAAGUCAUUCAUCACACCCCCCCCCCCAAUGUGGGUGAUCUUGAUUUUGAAUUAGUGAGAAUUUUGGGAGACAAUUCGUCAAAGUUUUAAUUAAAAUUAUUAGAUAAAUAUGGUUGGUCAUAUUGUUGGGUUCAAAUUUGAAGAGGUCUUUAAGGGGAAUUGAGAUUAAUCAUCUGAAUGCAUUAGUACAUCUCAUAGGAUGCUCUUUGAGAGGUGACAGAACACUGAUAUAUCUUCCACCACAUAGACUUUUGAAAAAUGUCAUAGAUAUUGGGAGUGACCUACUAAAAAGCCAAAGACAAACAAGUUACAUAUGCUAGAUAUCAUAGAAAUAAAUAGCAUUUAUCUCAUGAAAUUUGUAAAACCACAAAAAGAAACUUGAAAAUAGAUAUUAUCAGGAGAGUGUAGCUGAAUAAGCUCAGCGAUAGCUUGCAUCCUCUUAUGUACCUCUAAGUUUUUUCUGAACCACACAUUAUAUGUAAGGAUCUUUAUCACACCUGAAUUUCGGAAUUUUCAGCAGUUUCCUUGGAACUAAACUGCUUGUUUUCGCCUUUCCAAGCCAUUUUCAGAAUCCAAUAAGCAAGAUACAAUAGAUCCUAAAAUGAAUUAUUUCUAUGAAGGACUUGAAUUAUAAGAACUAUAGAGAGCCUGAAUCUUACAACAAUGAAUAGGAACAACAAAUAAGUGACUGGUAAAUAAAAUAACUUUAGAAUAGAACACAACAAAAUUUUAGCACUUUUAAAUGAAUCAAUAAUGUCCAUGGGAGUACUUGGUAAUCUGAAUUGUGUUGUUUCAGAAUUAGAUUAAAAAAAAUUGAUAGUGGACAUUAAAAAUUUUAAAGAAGUAAUUUAAAUGAGUUUCAAAGCAUCCUACAAAAUUCACACUAACCUUCAAUUGGGUGUUACUUGAGGUUAAUUAUGUACUAGUGUCUUUUCUUUUUAGUUUACAUUUGAUUUUUCUAUAUAUCAUUCUCUUUUGUAUUCUCAAAUUUUGUGAUGUGAGUGCCCUGUGCUUUUUAGUCGAUAAGAGGUUCUAAACAUAUUAGCAAACCGUUUGAGUGAUGCUUGUGGAAUUUACCUGUCCACCAUAUUGUAUAACUGCAAAGGUGAAAAUUUUCUUUUUUUAUAUGUUCUAAUUUGGUUUCAGUAAUUCCAUGAAAUACUCAAGUCAAUUCUCUUGGUCUUACUUUGUAGGACUUUAUAGUCUGAACUCUGGAUAUUGAACAAUGUUCGAUCAAGUCCAGAACAAUUCUUAGAGUUUCUGGUACUACAUCAUCUAUCAUGCUUAAGGGAUUGACAACUCAAUAUAUAGUCAGUAGCAGUUUCAAGCUGAAUUAAUGCAGAGAGAAGUAAAUUCUUGCCCACUUCUUCAUAGCAAGUAUAUGUCCUUAGGUUUUGAUGCUUGCUUGAUGCUACUGCUGCUGGUGUUGCCUGUUGCUGUUGGUCGGCUUAUGUGCUACUGAUGUUCAGCUUCCGAGUUUUUGUUGUUCUGUUUCCGAGCUGCUGAUGUUCUGUUUUCGAGCUGCUAUUGUUUUGCACAUUGUAAUUUUUUAUUUAUUUGUUGUAAUUGUAAUAUUACAAGCAUUUAUUAAUAAAAUUAUCUAUGUUUUAUAUAUGUAUAUAUAAUGGUUUGUCUAUCAAUAUUACUUUUUUUUUUCUUUUCUAGGCAUAAAGGGCACCAAUUCAAGGGAAGAACUUGUGCCCUUUAUUGACAUUAAGGGCACCAUUUUAGCCCUUGAACCGGUGGCCAAAACCUCUGUCAUGGGAAACCCCUAAAAAGG